UACGGAGGGUGCAAGCGUUAUCCGGAUUUACUGGGUUAAAGGGUGCGUAGGCGGACAGGUAAGUCCGUGGUGAAAUCUCUGAGCUUAACUCAGAAACUGCCAUGGAUACUAUUUGUCUUGAAUACUGUGGAGGUAAGCGGAAUAUGUCAUGUAGCGGUGAAAUGCUUAGAUAUGACAUGGAACACCAAUGCGAAGGCAGCUUACUACACAGCUAUUGACGCUGAGGCACGAAAGCGUGGGAUCAAACAGG
rnacentral:rRNA from 1 species